rnacentral:rRNA from 1 species
UACGUAGGGUCCGAGCGUUGUCCGGAAUUAUUGGGCGUAAAGGGCUCGUAGGCGGUUUGUCGCGUCGGGAGUGAAAACACGGGGCUUAACCCCGUGCCUGCUUCCGAUACGGGCAGACUAGAGGUAUGCAGGGGAGAACGGAAUUCCUGGUGUAGCGGUGAAAUGCGCAGAUAUCAGGAGGAACACCGGUGGCGAAGGCGGUUCUCUGGGCAUUACCUGACGCUGAGGAGCGAAAGCAUGGGUAGCGAACGGG